GCCUGUCAGCUCGGGCUCUGUGGCGCCCCGGCACUCCACUUCGGAUUUUCGUUCUGACCGGGAGCGAUCCGGGUUGGCUGGGCCGCCCGGACUUGCUUCGCUCCCAGCCCUUGCGCUUUGGCGCCCAACCUGAGGAGAGGCAGGUGUGAGGGCGGCUCGAGAGACCUAGGCUGUUAUGCAAUCUCUAGAUAAGGAUGCCCAGAGGAGCCUGCCGCAGGCAGAGGAAAGAGCAGGUCCUCUUUAGGAGCUGGGGGGCAGGAAAGGGCGCGUGACUCAUCCGCCCGCCCAUUCCGUCCCCGGUUCAUUCAUUCAGUUAAGGAUUGCAGCGCGGAGUGAGUGCUGGCCUAGUUGAGGAUGGAGAAAGAGACUAUGGUCAGAGCCAAAUCCCUCCAAGGAAAAGACAAAAGGGGAACAGAAAACAUCACAAUUAGACACUGAAAGUAUGAGAGUUGCUGGGGGGUGGGGGUGAGGGGGGGCUGUCAGUCGUAACUAAUUCCUUCCCCCCCCCCUUUUUUUGUAGAUAACAUUUAAGUUUUCAAGACAGGAUUUAGUUAUUUUACAAAGAAUAACGCUAAGGAUAAUGAUGGUAAUCCCCACAGAUGUUGGUUUUGUUUCUUCCCCUAACAUGCCCUUCUUGGGGGAAGUUAAAAAGAGGAAGGGUUGGAACGGAAGGGUUAGACAACUCCCAAGACCGGCUUUCUUUAAUAUCUUUAAGUGGACUCUCUGGUUGGAGAAAAACUGUGUGGAAGAAUAAGUGCUUGAAUAUGAACUUGGUCGAAGUUUUCUGCCCAUUUAACCAGCCUUUUCCUUUCCUAAUUCCGUAAUGGAGCACUCCAUUAGACGCAGUCUACAAUUACUCGCGUUAUACACAUGUGGAGAUAGACACGGUAAGGUGGUACCCUUGGAGACAUUCAGGAUAUCCCACUUUGCCCCAGCUAGUCAGUCUGUAGGCAAGGGCAGGAUUUGAGUUUCUGCAGUGACAAAAGAGGAUUGUUGUUUCCAAAAGAUUUAAGUAAGACACUGUAGAAAGUGAUCAGAAGAGGAUUUGAGAGGAUCAGGUGGUGGAUGUUCAUGUCCCCAACGCACCAGCCAAAAAGUUCAGCGGCUAAAAAGAUGUGUGCCACCAAGUCCGGAGGAGACCUGAGUUCAGUCAGAGGGGACUUGCUCUUUCAAGCUGUCCUCUGACCUCCACACCCCUGGCAAGCAUGUACAUGUACACACAUGCACACACAAACACAACACACACAAAAUAAUAAUAAUAAUAAUAAUAAUAAUAAUAAAUGUUAAGUGUUUUUAGGAAAGUUAAUAAUUCCAAAACUAAAAGUUAUGGCAAAACAUUCUAAAAACAACCAGUUUUCUGGGGGUGGGGGGAGAACUCAGCAUAGACGGAUAUUUGUAGAAGAUCACACUUGAAUAUCUAACAAAGACUAUAAAUAUCUUUAGUUCAUUGCCAAGAAAGAGUGAUAAACAUUUAAGAGAAAUAACAUAAAGACAUAGCGAGGUCAUGUUCUUGGGCAUUUGUUAUUAAGAUUGUGUGUGUGUGUGUGUGUGUGUGUGUGUGUGUGUGUGUGUGCUCAUCUAUCACUUUUACUUCUUUUCUAAGAAAAGGAAGCACAAGCAAGCAUACAGUUCUUGAAUUUAAUCAGUUCUCCCCUUUCCUUCUCUUGUGUGUUUUAUAUCUUUUUUUUUCUUCAGUCUCUUGUCUUACUUCACCCAUUGCCAAACUGGCAGACAUCAACACUCAACGUUUUAGAACCAUAGCAUGCUUUCGCUGUAGGUGCUUUUUUCGAGUAUUUAGAUCUCUAAAUCCAGCUGGGCCUGGUGGUGUGGCUGAGGCAGGAAGACUGGAGGGUCAAGGCUACUACGAGUGAGUUCAGGGUCAUCUUGAGCUACUCAGUGAGCUAAUGGAUCCAAACAGUGGUUCUCAACCUUCCUAAUGCUGCCACCCCGACCAUAACCUUGUUUCAUUGCUACUCUGUAACUGUAAUUUUGCUACUGUUAUAAAUUGCAAUGCAAAUGUCUGAUAUGAAGGAUAUCUGAUAGGCAACCCCGAGGGAGUCUCCACCCACAGGUUGAAAACCACUGCUCCCAAGUAAAAUGGUUUUUUUUUUUUUUUUUUUCUGUAAGGCUGAGAGUGUGGCCUAACAGUAUGAAGCUUGCCUAGUGCAAUACCCUAUGCUUAAUUCCCAGGACCACAAACAAACAAAGAAAACCCCCAAACUCGGAAUCUAAUUGUCUUGCCUCCCUCGAGUUAUGUUUGGGAAUUCUUUUCUGAAUCGCCUGGUUGCCAUAGCCAGGCAUGGUGUGUAAAUAUUUGUUUGGAUGACAAAGGAAUCUGAAAGUAGAAUGCGGUAAGAGCAAGUUCAGUUAAUUAGUGCAUAUAAUCCUGUGAUUUGUUACUUAAUAUUAUUCAGAGCUUAAGGAGAAAAUGUAAUUGAGUGAAAAGAGAACUCCUAUGAAGAGAAUCCAGAACACAGACGUAAGCAUGCCCCUGACAUUUCUAUUCAUAACCUGAAAUAACAAUGGGAAAAACAGGCAAAAAGACAAACAAACACACAAAAAAGCUAUCUGCGACUCUAGCAGCUCAUGUCCCACAAAUAAACAAACAGUGAAUCCAUGUACUGCCCAGACUUAGGAAGCCCGAGUGUCUACACCCACAGCUGCCCACUUUGGGCUCAGGUCCUUUGCCUCCAUCCUCCUCCUCAGCCAGCCCUUAACUUCUUGUAUUUCUUUUCUCAUGCCCCCACCUUUUGUCCAUGUGUAGCUUGUAUCUGUUUCCCCCUUCUAGGCACAGCGGAUAGGUCACCAGCUCUGUAGCCUCCUCUGGAUUCUACAGCGAUCUGUCCCUCUUUAAGCACUCCCACGGACCAUGGUGUACACCUUUUUCCUUCCAACUCAAGCACCCUUCACAAAGUCUUCCAGAUCAAAAGAUAAUCAAUUGUACCUGCUCGUGGGAAAAAGCAGCGAAGGCCCUGAGUACUGUAAGCAGUGAUGCACUGAGACCAAGUAGAUGCAUAAGUCAUGCUACAGAUUGGUUUUUAACGAAGAACAAAAGAUCAAGUUACUCAAUACCCACCUCGACUGGAGUAAAAACAAAGUGUGUCCUGAUAAGAUCACGUGGAAAAAGUCUUCUGUGGAAGCCUCUCAUGAAGUUUUGAAGAACACAUGUCUCAUGUUACUGGAUAUGUUGUAGAAGAAAAAUGACUUUCAGUGCCCCAUCUCGAUGUUCUUUCAAGAGAUUCAGCAUCACACUUCUUUUCUGGGCCAGGAGAGAUGGGUCAGCAGUUAAGAGCACAUACUCUUCUUUCAGAGGAAAAGAGUUUUGAUCCCAGCACCUAGGUUGGAUGACUCACCGCAACUCCAGGGAAUCUGAUGACCUCUUCUGGUCUCUUCUGGUCUCUGCAGGUACCUGCACUCAUAUGCACAUACACACACACACACACACACACACACACACACACACACACACACGACGAGAGAGAGAGA